GACGAACGCUGGCGGCGUGCUUAACACAUGCAAGUCGAACGGAAAGGCCCUGCUUUUGUGGGGUGCUCGAGUGGCGAACGGGUGAGUAACACGUGAGUAACCUGCCCUUGACUUUGGGAUAACUUCAGGAAACUGGGGCUAAUACCGGAUAGGAGCUCCUGCUGCAUGGUGGGGGUUGGAAAGUUUCGGCGGUUGGGGAUGGACUCGCGGCUUAUCAGCUUGUUGGUGGGGUAGUGGCUUACCAAGGCUUUGACGGGUAGCCGGCCUGAGAGGGUGAACGGCCACAGUGGGACUGAGAUACGGACCAGACUCCUACGGGAGGCAGCAGUGGGGAAUAUUGCACAAUGGGCGGAAGCCUGAUGCGGCAACGCCGCGUGCGGGAUGACGGCCUUCGGGUUGUAAACCGCUUUCGCCUGUGACGAAGCGUGAGUGACGGUAAUGGGUAAAGAAGCACCGGCUAACUACGUG
rnacentral:rRNA from 1 species